rnacentral:rRNA from 1 species
GAUGAACGCUGGCGGCGUGCUUAACACAUGCAAGUCGAGCGAACAGACGCGGCUUUUGCUCCUCUCUCGUUAGCCGCGCACGUGUGAGUAACACGUGUAUCCCCUCCCUAUCAUACUGGUAUCACUUCGGGAAUCCGGAUCUUAUCCCGUAUAAUCUCUUGCACCGUAUGGUUCAAUAGUAAAAUACGGUUUUUCUGUCUCUUCUAGCUGCUUCCGCGCCGCAUUAGCUAGUUGGUAAGGUAACGGCGUUCCAAGGCAACGAUGCGUAACCGACCUGAGAGGGGGAUCGGCCACACUGGAACUGAGACACGGUCCAGACUCCUACGGGAGGCAGAAGUAGGGAAUCUUCCGCAAUGGGCGAAAGCCUGACGGAGCAACGCCGCGUGAGUGAUGAAGGUCUUCGGAUCGUAAAACUCUGUUAUUAGGGAAGAACAAAUGUGUAAGUAACUAUGCACGUCCUGACGGUACCUAAUCAGAAAGCCACGGCUAACUACGUG